CUUUUGUUGCCUAUACUUUUCACGUAUAGCAUUGAGAGGGCAAUUACUGGUGUUAUGCUGCAGUUCCCGUAGAGCACAGACACAUAUUUGAAUAUCAGAGCUUUUGUAAGAAGUUGCAUAUCCUUGUUAUACGAACCCAUGGAAUGUCAGAUUGGUCAAGUGUCCAUCUUGCAAGAAAGACUGCAGAUGCUGCCACCACUGAAGGAAGAAAUUUGAGGAAACUGUAAUCGAUCAGGGUCAGCUCUGCAAGAUAAUUGGCCAGAUAUCCCAAGAUUGGACAAGAAACACCAUAUGUAUGUGGUAACCAAAACUACCUGAGAAAUGUUUUUGUUGUUGGAACAGAUAGAUGAAACCCCAUAUCAUUAAGCACCAGGCCCUCCAUUUUCAGCACCUAUUUUUUGUGUAUGUAUUGUCAGUUAUGAAACAAAAUUCUUCAACACGAGGAGCACAUAUCUCUUCAUAUUUCGAGGCAAUCAGCAUGCUUGUUAUUCCAAGAAGUUGGAGUUUCUGUCUUUCAAUAUAAUGUUGAGAAAGAAAUCGGUCAAUAAGAUUAAUGGUUAGGUAGAGUGUGUCUGGCACAAGCUUAUAUUCUUCAGAAACCUCAACAAGCCAAUCAAUGAGAAUGCCUCGCAUGCCCUUUGUGAUGUCACGUUGCAAAGCCUCCAUGUAAUUUGACCUGGAACAAAAACAUACCUCAGAGGCCAUCAGAUUUGUGUAUAUCUCUGAAGCAUAGGAAGCACACAUUUGAGGAUUUCCAUUAUCAUUGUCAAUAUCUAUAAAACCUAAACCACUAGAGUCACCAGGCUUGGAGUCAGCGAGUUCAUGUUUAUCCAUGGCGUUUCUUGCCUCAAAGAAUGCCUCAUGGCAAUUACUGUCCCUGUUUCGCUCAAUAUUCUGCAAUGACAGUAACCCCUCGUUUUCAAACAAAUUUGUGGGUUCCUCUGCUUUUGCCAAAAGCUCCACCUUUUGAGUUUCUUCAGAACUUUUAGAAUCAAUCACAAAUGAAGUUCCAGCAACAGCCGGAGGGGGUAGCUUAGGAACCUUCUUUGCACACUGCUUUUUGCUCGGGAUUUGUUUCACCCUUUGGCAGCUCUUGAUACCUGCAGCUUGCUCGUGGUGGUGCAAUUUUUGGAUGAGUUGGCACAGCCGAUGUUGGUUACAUCCUUGAGCACUGUGCGCCGUUUAGGCUGAGGAGCUGAAGUUGCAGUACUUGCACUAGUGAUUUCAUCCAAAGCUCCCCUUUUUGUCUUUCCUUUUGCUGUCUGCUUUCGUUCAGUUCUUGCGGGUAGUGAUACGGAGGGAGCAAACCCAAACCGUCCACGAUUUGCAGCAGCUUGAGCUCGUGUGAUUCGACCACUGGGUGCUUGGCAAGCAGUAAGCACCGGAUUUUCCUUCCUUCCAGCCAUGUGAGCC
rnacentral:sRNA from 1 species